UCGCAUCCCAGUUGAAUAGAAUCGAGUCGAAUAGCUUCCGCAGUAAAUGGGGCUUGAUCAGCAGGGUCUGGGCGAAGUUUCUGAUAUAUGCAGCUUACCAAAGCAAAGGCUACGAGCACUCCGAGAGCCUGAGCAGAGGAGGAGAGCUUAUCAGCCAUGUUUGGCUUCUAAUGGCGCAUCUUGGUGUGGCGGAUCCGCUACAAACUUCCGAAGCACAAUGCAUUACUAAACUGAC
rnacentral:lncRNA from 1 species